UCAGACAACGAAUAGAGAUAGAGAGUUGCCAUUUGGGGGAAGGAGACACAGGUGCUGCAUGGUUAUCGUUAGCUCGUGUUGUGAAAUUUUGGGUUAAGUCCAACAACGAACGCCACCCUUAAUCUUAUUUUCCAUCAUUUAGUUGGGCAAUUUAAGGUAACCGCCGGUGACAAACCGGAGGAAGGUGGGGAUGACGUCAAAUCAUUAUUCCCCUUAAGACCUGGGCUACACACGUGCUACAAUGGAUGGUACAAAGGGGUGCAAACCUGCGAAGGUAAGCGAAUCCCAAAAAACCAUUUUCAGUUCGGAUUGUAGGUUGCAACUUGCAUACAUGAAGCCGGAAUUGGUAGUAAUUGCGGAUCAGCAUGCCGCGGUGAAAAAGUUCCCGGGCUUUGUACACACCCCCCGUCACCCCCCGAGAGUUUGUAACACCCGAAGUCGGUGAGGUAAUCUUUAUUUAGCCAGCCGCCCAAGGUGGGACUAGAUGAUUGGGGUGAAGUCGUAAACAAGGUAACCUUGAC
rnacentral:rRNA from 1 species